rnacentral:rRNA from 1 species
AGAGUUUGAUCCUGGCUCAGGAUGAACGCUAGCGGGAGGCUUAACACAUGCAAGUCGAGGGGUAUGAUAGCAAUAUCAGAGACCGGCGCACGGGUGAGUAACGCGUAUGCAACCUGCCCUUUACAGGGGGAUAGCCCGUCGAAAGGCGGAUUAAUACCCCAUAAUAUGGUACCAUCGCAUGAUGGAACUAUAAAAGCUUCGGCGGUAAAGGAUGGGCAUGCGUGACAUUAGCUAGUUGGUAGGGUAACGGCCUACCAAGGCUACGAUGUCUAGGGGUUCUGAGAGGAAGGUCCCCCACACUGGUACUGAGACACGGACCAGACUCCUACGGGAGGCAGCAGUGAGGAAUAUUGGUCAAUGGGCGCGAGCCUGAACCAGCCAUCCCGCGUGCAGGAAGACGGCCCUAUGGGUUGUAAACUGCUUUUGUGCAGGAAGAACGCUCUUUACGUGUAGAGAGGUGACGGUACUGCAUGAAUAAGCACCGGCUAACUCCGUGCCAGCAGCCGCGGUAAUACGGAGGGUGCAAGCGUUAUCCGGAUUUAUUGGGUUUAAAGGGUGCGUAGGCGGUGAAAUAAGUCAGUGGUGAAAAGCUGCAGCUCAACUGUAGUCCUGCCAUUGAAACUGUUUUACUUGAGUAACCAUGAGGUAGGCGGAAUGUGUAGUGUA